rnacentral:rRNA from 1 species
AUGUUAGAACAAAAUCUUAGUAUCCUCAACUGGAAUGUACGAGGUUUAAAUUGCCCAAACCGUCGAGCAACCAUCAGAGAAACGAUCACUGCUACUCCAUGCCACAUAGUCUGUCUACAAGAGACCAAACUGGAGCUCGUCGACCCGGUCGUCGCUUCAUUCCUUGGUGGCCACAAACUAAAGAACUUUGCCCAGCGCCCAGCCAUUGGCACCCGCGGUGGUAUCCUACUGCUAUGGGACGAGAGUGUCGUAGAUGUGAAGGGUGUGAGCAUUGGCACCUUCUACCUCUCCUGCAAUGUCACGAUUGUCUCCUCGGCCACAACCUUCAAGCUCACCACCGUUUAUGGUCUGACGAGAAGCAAUCUUAAGGAAGCCUUCUUCCAAGAGUUGAUUAAUGAGAAGCCCCCCUAUGCAAAAUGGUUGGUCGGCGGCGAUUUUAAUCAAAUCCACCAUGCGCAAGACAAGAAUAAUACAAAUGUCAACCGGAGUCGUAUUGUUCGCUUCAGAAAUGCACUUAAUCUUUGCGAGCUCAAAGAGAUCCACUUGCAAAACAGAAAAUACACCUGGAGUAAUGAGCAGAGCAACCCAACUCUCAGCAAACUCGACUCUUUCUUCUGCAAUGAGGAUUGGGACCUAGACUUUCACACACACAUCCUUCAUGCCCUCUCGUCAUCCUUAUCGGACCACUGCCCUCUCCUCCUUGCAAAUGACAAAGGUCCGCAGAGGUCAAAGCCCUUCCGCUUCGAAAACUUUUGGAUCAAAAUGCCCAGUUUUAAAGAUGUAGUCCAGGGAGCUUGGAGCAACAAUUUUGGUCAUUCUAACUCAUACCUCAACCUCUCUCACAAGCUCAAAGAAGCAGGCAAAAAAUUAAGGAAGUGGAGCAGGACGAUGUUCGCACACUCGAAGGUGCAAAUUCAUAUGGCCCUCGAAGUUAUUCUCUGCCUGGAUGUGGCUCAGGAUCUUCGCCCCCUUAGUGCCAGCGAGCGAGAUCUUCGAAAGAGACUUAAGCAGAAAGUGGUAGGCCUUGCUGUUCUCGAGCGGGCGCGGAAAAGACAAAGCUCAAGAAUUACGAGCUUGAAAGACGGUGAUGCC